rnacentral:rRNA from 1 species
GGAAUAACGGCUGGAAACGGUCGCUAAUACCAAAUACGCUCCGAUUUCAACGUUCGGGGGAAAGGUGGCCUCUGCUUGCAAGCUACUGCUCAUGGAUGAGUCCGCGUCCCAUUAGCUAGUUGGUGGGGUAACGGCCCACCAAGGCGACGAUGGGUAGCCGGUCUGAGAGGAUGACCGGCCACACUGGGACUGGAACACGGCCCAGACUCCUACGGGAGGCAGCAGUGGGGAAUAUUGCGCAAUGGGCGAAAGCCUGACGCAGCGACGCCGCGUGAGGGAUAGAAGGUCCUCGGAUCGUAAACCUCUGUCAGGAGGGAAGAACCGCCACGGUGCUAAUCAGCCGUGGUCUGACGGUACCUCCAAAGGAAGCACCGGCUAACUCCGUGCCAGCCGCAGC